rnacentral:rRNA from 1 species
GACGAACGCUGGCGGCGUGCUUAACACAUGCAAGUCGAACGAAGAGCGACGGAAGCUUGCUUCUAUCAAUCUUAGUGGCGAACGGGUGAGUAACGCGUAAUCAACCUGCCCUUCAGAGGGGGACAACAGUUGGAAACGACUGCUAAUACCGCAUACGAUCUAAUCUCGGCAUCGAGGAUGGAUGAAAGGUGGCCUCUACAUGUAAGCUAUCACUGAAGGAGGGGAUUGCGUCUGAUUAGCUAGUUGGAGGGGUAACGGCCCACCAAGGCGAUGAUCAGUAGCCGGUCUGAGAGGAUGAACGGCCACAUUGGGACUGAGACACGGCCCAGACUCCUACGGGAGGCAGCAGUGGGGAAUCUUCCGCAAUGGACGAAAGUCUGACGGAGCAACGCCGCGUGAGUGAUGACGGCCUUCGGGUUGUAAAGCUCUGUUAAUCGGGACGAAAGGCCUUCUUGCGAAUAGUGAGAAGGAUUGACGGUACCGGAAGAGAAAGCCGCGGCUAACUACGUG